GAUAGCGCUCUGACGCGCGCUGGUAAUGCUUUCUGUUUGACGUAGCCUUAUGUUAUUUUGAAUUUGCGGUUAGUUAUUAUAUAGCCCUCAUUGUAACGUACUUUAUCACUGUAUUUGCAGAUGCGUGGUCAGAGGCUGCUGGGGGGUUACUGUGGGGGCGUGAUACUCACACAGCACCACGUGCUCACCGCUGCACACUGCUUAUUUCGGUGUGAACCCUUUGCCACUGUAGUAUCAAGUCAUGCGGUGAAUGAUCUAGGUACUUUACACCAUACCAUUAAAUCUUUCCAGAACAAUCAAUGACACUACCAUCUUGAGGGCAUCUAAAGUUGUCAUUCGCGUCGGAUCCACCUAAUGACCGCGGAGGCUCAAAGCAUGAGACGUCCAAUACCUUGGUCCACGAGGAUUACAAAUAUUCGGAGAGUAAAGACAACGACGUUGCAGUGUUGGUGCUGUCGACCAGUGUGAGCAACUACCGGAGCAGCUCGGUGCAGCCAGCCGUCAUCCCCCCGGGGGGGUAUGUGGUCCCGGACAACGCGUCUGUGGUAGCUGUCGGGUGGGGACGGACUGAUAUGAAAUGCAUCAAGUCAAGCCCCAUCGGCCUGCGACUCGUGGGGCUGCGCAAGGUGGACCGAGACACCUGCGCCGCACGUUAUCCACGAUUCUCAUACAACAACAUGCUCUGCGCGGGGCUGCUUGGUGUUGGAGG